rnacentral:lncRNA from 1 species
AUAUAAUUACGAAAGUUGGAAAAUUUUAUGUCUAAUUUAAAUCCAUGUCAUUUUCAUACCCACUAAAUAUCCGCGUCACUAUGUUUUGAGUCACUAAAAUAUCUAAGACAAUGUUCUACGAGACUGACACUUGUUAAAUUCACCAAGUUCCUGGAUGUCAACAUAACUUUGCAUUUUGUAAAGUGCAUAGUAAAUCAACCAUGCCUGUAUCAUGUUAUGUAAUUUUAUGUAACAUACUUUCAUUUAUG